CCAUGGGCAUACCACCCUGAACACGCCGGAUCUUGUCUAAUCUCAGAAGCUAAGCAGGGUCGGGCCUGGUUAGUACUUAGAUAGGAGAAAAGCUAACCAAUCCCUUUGAGUACUUAAGGCAAAUCUGUUGA
rnacentral:rRNA from 1 species